rnacentral:rRNA from 1 species
AGCCUGACGCAGCCAUGCCGCGUGUAUGAUGAAGGUCUUAGGAUUGUAAAAUACUUUCACCGGUGAAGAUAAUGACUGUAGCCGGAGAAGAAGCCCCGGCUAACUUCGUGCCAGCAGCCGCGGUAAUACGAAGGGGGCUAGCGUUGCUCGGAAUUACUGGGCGUAAAGGGAGCGUAGGCGGACAUUUAAGUCAGAGGUGAAAUCCCGGAGCUUAACUUCGGAACUGCCUUUGAUACUGGGUGUCUUGAGUGUGAGAGAGGUAUGUGGAACUCCGAGUGUAGAGGUGAAAUUCGUAGAUAUUCGGAAGAACACCAGUGGCGAAGGCGACAUACUGGCUCAUUACUGACGCUGAGGCUCGAAAGCGUGGGGAGCAAACAGGAUUAGAUACCCUGGUAGUCCACGCCGUAAACGAUGAUUGCUAGUUGUCGGGAAGCUUGCUUCUCGGUGACGCAGCUAACGCAUUAAGCAAUCCGCCUGGGGAGUACGGUCGCAAGAUUAAAACUCAAGGAAAUUUGACGG